rnacentral:rRNA from 1 species
UGUCUCAGUACAAGCCAAAUUAAGGUGAAACCGCGAAAGGCUCAUUAAAUCAGUUAUGGUUCCUUAGAUCGUACCCACAUUUACUUGGAUAACUGUGGUAAUUCUAGAGCUAAUACAUGCAAACAGAGCUCCGACCGGAGACGGAAGGAGCGCUUUUAUUAGAUCAAAACCAAUCGGUGGCGGACGUUCGCGCGUUCGUCAUCGUAAUACUUGGUGACUCUGAAUAACUUUACGCUGAUCGCACGGUCUCGCACCGGCGACGCAUCUUUCAAAUGUCUGCCUUAUCAACUGUCGAUGGUAGGUUCUGCGCCUACCAUGGUUGUAACGGGUAACGGGGAAUCAGGGUUCGAUUCCGGAGAGGGAGCCUGAGAAACGGCUACCACAUCCAAGGAAGGCAGCAGGCGCGCAAAUUACCCACUCCCGGCACGGGGAGGUAGUGACGAAAAAUAACGAUACGGGACUCAUCCGAGGCCCCGUAAUCGGAAUGAGUACACUCUAAACCCUUUAACGAGGAUCAAUUGGAGGGCAAGUCUGGUGCCAGCAGCCGCGGUAAUUCCAGCUCCAAUAGCGUAUAUUAAAGUUGUUGCGGUUAAAAAGCUCGUAGUCGAAUCUGUGUCCCGCGCCGCCGGUUCAUCGUACGCGGUGUCAACUGGCGUGUCGCGGGACGUCCUGCCGGUGGGCUUAGCUCGCAAGGGCGGCCCAACUCAAUCCCGCCGCGGUGCUCUUCACUGAGUGUCGAGGUGGGCCGGCACGUUUACUUUGAACAAAUUAGAGUGCUUAAAGCAGGCUAAAACUUCGCCUGAAUACUGUGUGCAUGGAAUAAUGGAAUAGGACCUCGGUUCUAUUUUGUUGGUUUUCGGAACCCCGAGGUAAUGAUUAAUAGGAACGGAUGGGGGCAUUCGUAUUGCGACGUUAGAGGUGAAAUUCUUGGAUCGUCGCAAGACGGACAGAAGCGAAAGCAUUUGCCAAAAACGCUUUCAUUGAUCAAGAACGAAAGUUAGAGGUUCGAAGGCGAUCAGAUACCGCCCUAGUUCUAACCAUAAACGAUGCCAGCUAGCGAUCCGCCGACGUUCCUCCGAUGACUCGGCGGGGCAGCUUCCGGGAAAACCAAAGCUUUUGGUUCCGGGGGAA